UACGUAGGGGGCCAGCGUUGUCCGGAAUCAUUGGGCGUAAAGCGCGUGUAGGCGGUCCGGUAAGUCCGCUGUGAAAGUCGGGGGCUCAACCCUCGGAUGCCGGUGGAUACUGUCGGGCUUGAGUACGGAAGAGGCGAGUGGAAUUCCUGGUGUAGCGGUGAAAUGCGCAGAUAUCAGGAGGAACACCUAUUGCGAAGGCAGCUCGCUGGGACGUAACUGACGCUGAGACGCGAAAGCGUGGGGGGCAAACAGG
rnacentral:rRNA from 1 species